rnacentral:rRNA from 1 species
UACGGAGGGUGCAAGCGUUGCUCGGAAUCAUUGGGCGUAAAGCGUACGCAGGCUGUUCGUUAAGUCGGGUGUGAAAGCCCGGGGCUCAACCCCGGAACGGCGCCCGAAACUGGCGAGCUUGAAUGCGGGAGAGGGAAGCGGAAUUCCCGGUGUAGUGGUGAAAUGCGUAGAGAGUCGGGAGGAACACCUGUGGCGAAGGCGGCCAGCCUGGGCCGACCCUGACGCUGAGG